AUACCAGCUCUCCGAGUGGUGUGGAUGUUUAUUGGGCCUAAAGCAUCCGUAGCUGGCCAAGUUAGUCCCCUGUUAAAUCCACCGAUUUAAUCGUUGGAGUGCGGGGGAUACUGCUCGGCUAGGGGACGGGAGAGGCCGACGGUAUUUUCGGGGUAGGGGUGAAAUCCUAUAAUCCCGGGAAGACCACCAGUGGCGAAGGCUGUCGGCUAGAACGCGCCCGACGGUGAGGGAUGAAAGCUGGGGUAGCGAACCGGAUUAGAUACCCGGGUAGUCCCAGCUGUAAACGAUGCAGGCUAGGUGUUUGGGCGGCCACGUGCCGCUCUAGUGCCGCAGGGAAGUCGUUAAGCCUGCCGCCUGGGGAGUACGGCCGCAAGGCUGAA
rnacentral:rRNA from 1 species